AGUCGUCUUUGGCUGCAGGGAGGAAGGGGAGGGAAAGGCUGCAGCUCCGUGUUAACAGGUUCCCUAAUGAAAAGCCUGGCAGAGAAACAGGAGUUCCAUGUUCUUAAUUAGAUCAUUUUCAGAGAAGUCUGGAGAAAGAAGAGAAAAUAGCGACAGCAAAAUAGAGAUAAUCACUAAAACUGCUUUUCAAGUAAACCAGAAGCCCACUCAGUGUAAUGAGACAGAAAAACAUCAAGAAACUUAAAGGAGGAACAUGUGCUUUAUUUGACACAUCAGAGCCAAGUCGACUGAAUAAAUACUGUCUACACAGCAAUUUCCUGUGCAGAAGUGACUAUUACACCUUCCCACUGGUUAGGUUUCACAUCCUUCCUGGGAUGAGGACACCAAAAAACAGACAAGAUUCAAGAUGAAAAUGAAACAGGAGGUUUUGCAGGGGGAGUGAUGACAGGUUAUUUACCAAAUGGAGAUACUGCUGCAGAAAGGGAAAAUAGAUGAAGGAAUUCAGAGCUCCAAUGUGCCAGCAAGAAAACUGCAUCUCUCUCUGCACGUGCAAAAGCAACAGGGGUGAAAGAAGCACAGCAGUUAACCUUCGCUCUGCCUUCUGGAUCAUGGGUACAUGACAGCAGAAAAUAACCACUCACUUCUGGUUUGGCAGGCUGCAUUCAAGUAUUCUGGCUGCUGUAUUUCUUCAGCCACCCGUCUCUAGAGAACAUGUCAUGGAAAUAACGGUAUAUUUUUAUCUCUCACAUUUUACUAGGCAUGAUGUGUGAGCCACUGUUGGAGACAGAACACUGCCUAGACACACAUUUGGUCUGAGAAAAUGUAGCUGUAAAUUCUUUUAUGUAGAAGAAGAAGGGAUAUAACACCUGGAUGCAGCAAAAUUCUCCCAUCAUUUGUGAUUCCCAGGCCUAUAACCAAAAUAUAUCAGCUUCAUACACAGUGAGUGUCGCAACAUUCCCAGCGCAUCUGUAUUAGUGUGUCCCAUCGUAAGUAAAUGUCCCAAUAGACUUAAACUGACCUAUAAAAAUUUCUACCUAUUGAGGCCACAGGUCUUGCAGUGAAAUAUUUCAUAGAAUCAUAUUUCGUAUGAAUCUAUGAUUCAUAGAAUCACAGAAUCAUAGAAUGAUUUGGGUUGGAAAGGACCUUAAAAUCAUUCGGUUCCAACCCCCUGCCAUGGGCAGGAACGCCUCACACUAAACCAUGUGUCACCCAAGGCUCUGUCCAGCCUGGCCUUGAACACUGCCAGGGAUGGAGCAUUUACCACUUCUCUGGGCAACCUGUGCCAGUGCCUCAGCACCCUAACAGGGAAGACCUUCUUCCUUAUAUCUAACCUGAACUUCUCUUUCAGAACUUCUGCAGCAUGGAAGAUGAUACUCCAACUUCUCAUAAAAAUCUACUGAGUGUUGGAGGCUGUUUUGGGAUUUUGCUGAUUUGAACACAUCUUGUAAAACUGGAGACCUUUCCAGAGAUUUGAGGGCUUAUUGACACUUAAUGGAGUUAAAUUCUGGACUGAUCCUCAGCAAGCAAAAUCACUUCACUCAGAAGUUCUUCAGGAAGAAAAUCUGAAGUUAAAAAUAUAGCUACAGCACCAGAUGACAUUGUUCCCUGGAAAGUAGGUCUUGUCAAAGAAACCUGUUAUCUUUUCUAAGGAGAUUGCAUGUCUAUUUGAUAAAGAAAGUAAUGCUGGUAUAACCUAGUUUGGUUUCGCUAGAUCAUAACCACGUGGAUUGAAGUUGCUGCAUAUAAAGAAACAAAAAGACACAUCCUACACCAAAUAAAACCUUUUUCAGUACAUUAAAUGCUAUUUUCAAUGGGGAGGGAAGGAUUUCCAGUGAACUGUAUCUUCACUGUUAUCACCCUUCAAAUAGAUUUUGAGCAAUCAUUACUCAAUGCUUGGUUUUCACUGAUUAUAAAUGCUACUUUUUGUUCAUUACUUUAGUGAUAGCUGGCAUGCAACAUAAAAAUUGUUAUGGAAUCAAUAAUAAAGAGCACAAGUUGCUAUUACGAAGAUACCAAAUGCCACUCUGAGUGGUCAAAGGGCACUGAAGACAGCCAAGUAAAAGGAGUUUUUACCUCUGGAAACAGAGAAACUGGAGGGAUUGGGAAGUUGAGCAGAUCCAAGAAAUCAUCGAAACGCAUGUAUGACAUGUUCUUAAAGAAAUCCUCUAAUAAAAGCACUAAACCAGUCCUGAAAAA